GGGGAGGGGGGAGCGGCGCGCGCGGGGAGCGCCCCGGCAGCGCUCCCGGCAUCCAUCCUGACAUCCAUCCUCGGCGCCCCCCGCAUCCCCCCGUCCGGCCCCGCCGCGAUGUUCUCCAGGAAGGGCCACGCCGACGUCAGGAAAUCCACGCAGAAGGCGCUGGACCCGAAGCGGGACGUGCUGACCCGGCUGAAGCACCUCCGCGCGCUGCUGGAUAUUGUGGAUGGAAGUGACCUGAAGCAAUUUUUUGACAAUAAUUAUUCUCAAAUUUAUUUUAUAUUCUAUGAAAACUUCAUAACACUGGAAAAUAGCUUGAAACAAAAAGGGAAUAAGUCACAAAGGGAGGAGCUGGACUCCAUCCUCUUUCUUUUUGAAAAAAUAUUGCAACUACUGCCUGAGAGGAUUUUUUAUCGAUGGCAUUUUCGCAGUAUAGGGUCGAUUCUGAAGAAACUUUUGCACACUGGAAAUUCUCUCAAGAUCAGAUGUGAAGGAAUCCGGCUGUUCCUGCUCUGGCUCCAAGCCCUCCAGACGAACUGUGGGGAGGAGCAGAUCCUGCUGUUUGCCUGCCUCGUGCCCGGCUUCCCCCCGCUGGCGUCCUCGCGGGGGCCCUGCACCCUGGAGAGCCUCAUCAGCCCCCCGGCCCCGCCCGACGCUAAGGUUUUUCCAGAGGAAAUAACCCCGCUUUUACCAGCUGUCUCUGGAGAGAAAAUUGCUGAAGACCAAACCUGCUAUUUUCUUCAACUCCUGUUAAAAUAUAUGGUAAUUCAGGCUGCAAGCUUGGAGUGGAAAAACAAGGAGAACCAAGACACUGGGUUUAAGUUUCUCUUUACCUUGUUUAGAAAAUACUAUCUUCCUCACUUGUUUCCAUCUUUUACAAAGCUAACCAACCUCUACAAACCUGUGCUUGAUAUUCCUGAUAUCAGGCCGAGGCCAGUGUACGUCACUGCAACGCGCAACAAUGAAAGUGUCUAUAGCACGAAAAUCCCGUACAUGGCAGCUCGAGUUGUUUUUAUUAAGUGGCUUGUUACCUUCUUCCUUGAAAAGAAAUAUUUAACUGCUGUUCAGAACACGAAAAAUGGAGGAGAAGUGCUCCCUAAAAUUAUUCAGACGGUGGGGGUGAGCCAGGACAAGGCGGUGGAGCCCGAGGGCAGCGCGGCGCAGGAGCAGGACGGGAGCCACUCCAACAGCAGCACCUUGUCCGACAGGAGGCUCAGCAACGCCAGCCUGUGCAGCAUCGACGAGCAGCACCGCGGCGUCUACGAGAUGGUGCAGAGGAUCCUCCUGUCCACCCGCGGCUACGUCAACUUCGUCAACGAGGUGUUCCGACAGGCUUUUUUGUUGCCGCCUUGUGAUGUAUCCGCAACACGGAAGGUGGUGAAGGUGUAUCAGAAGUGGAUACUGCAGGAGAAGCCGGUGUUCAUGGAGGAGCCAGACAAGAAGGAGGACAGCCAGGAUGCUGUUGUCCACCUGGAAGACUCCCCAGUGCAAACAGACGGUAAACAUCUUUCCUCGGAGCACUCCGGGCACAAGCGCUCCUCCAGCUGGGGCAGGACGUACUCCUUCACCAGUGCUGUCAGCAGGGGAUGUGUGCUGGAAGAUGAGGACAGAGAUGUUAAAGCUGGAGCCCAGGCUGCCUUGCAGGUGUUCCUGACAAACUCGGCGAAUGUUUUCCUGCUGGAGCCGUGCACUGAGGUCCCGGUGCUGCUGAAGGAGCAAGUCGAUGCUUGCAAAGCUGUUCUCGGUAUCUUCAGGCGCAUGAUAAUGGAGCUGUCAAUGAAUAAGAAGACGUGGGAACAGAUGCUCCAGAUACUCCUCAGAAUAACAGAAGCUGUGAUGCAGAAGCCAAAAGAAAACCAGACAAAGGACACAUUUGCCCAGAGCAUGGCUGGGUUGCUGUUCCGAACCCUGAUUGUGGCUUGGAUCCGAGCGAAUCUGAGUGUUUACAUCUCUCGGGAGCUGUGGGAUGAGCUGCUCAGCGUUCUGUCCUCCCUGACGGACUGGGAGGAGCUCAUCAACGAGUGGGCCAACAUCAUGGACUCCCUGACAGCAGUGCUGGCCAGGACCGUGUAUGGCGUGGAAAUGACCAACCUGCCCUUGGACAAGCUCAGUGAGCAGAAGGAAAAAAAGCAGAGGGGAAAAGGUGGCAUUUUAGAGCCUCAGAAGACAGCAGUGGUGGGAAGAUCUUUUUCAUUAAGCUGGAAGAGUCAUCCUGAAGUUGUGGAGCCGAUGAGAUUCAGAAGCGCUACAACCUCUGGGGCCCCAGGAGUUGAGAAAGCCCGAAAUAUUGUUCGUCAGAGAGCGACAGCUAAGCGAAGCCAGUCUAUCAGCAACUGUGUCCACCUUUAUGAGGCUUUGCCAGCUACUAAAAGUGUACCUCUUCUGCUUCACACUGUGAGCUCUCUCUUCCCUGGUAUCUCUUACACUUCUUGCUCUCACAGACUGUCAGAAGUUGAAGAAUCUCAACAGUUGGAAAAUUCAGAAGCAACAGAAGCUGUGGGCCCGUUUGCAGAGCAGGAACAGCAGCUGACUCGCAGUAGCAGCACUUCAGAUAUUGCAGAUCAGAUUCCAUCUGAUUUUUUUCAAGGUAAAAAGGGUGGAAGUUCUCAUAAUUCAACUUCAGACUCCAAAUCAGUUCAGGAAAAUAAGGGACAUGCAAAGAAGGAGGAGGAAGCUGAACAAGUGCUACUGCGAAGGAGCAGCAGUACAGCUGAAUUAGAUCUCAAAGCAGACUUUCAGCCUUCCUAUGGGAAUUACAGGGAGAGAGAAAAAAGUGAGAGCGUGAGCAGCGACGCGUCCCUGGGCUGCGGUGCCGACGUGGACAUCGCGCUGCUGCCCUGGCAGGCGGCCGAGGAUGAUCCUGAUCCCGGAGCAGCCGCGGAGGUGUGUGUGGAUCCCACUGCCCCGCGCUGGCUGCAGCUCAGCCCCUCAGAGCCCGCCAACCUCACAGACAGUAGUGAAUUCCUUGCUGAUGACUGCAGCAUAAUUGCUGGUGGAAGCCUUAUUGGUUGGCAUCCUGAUUCUGCUGCUGUGUUAUGGAGGAGGAUCUUGGGAAUUCUUGGAGAUGUGAACAAGAUACAGUCACCUAAAAUCCACGCAAAAGUUUUUGGGUACCUUUAUGAGCUGUGGUAUAAACUUGCAAAGAUAAGGGACAACCUUGCUAUCAGCGUGGACAAUCAGUCCACUCCCUCUCCUCCCAUCCUAAUCCCGCCUCUCAGGAUAUUUGCAUCGUGGCUGUUCAAGGCAGCCACGCUGCCCAGCGAGUACAAGGAGGGCAAGCUGCAGGCGUUCCGGCUGCUCUGUGCCAUGAUGACCCGGCGCCAGGACGUGCUGCCCAACUCCGACUUCCUCGUCCACUUCUACUUCGUGAUGCGCCUCGGCUUGACAAGUGAGGACCAGGAUAUCCUGAACACUGUCAUAAAGCACUGCCCACCCUGGUUUUUCUUCUUGGGCUUGCCUGGGUUCACGAUGCUGAUCGGGGACUUCGUGGCGGCAGCAGCGAGGGUGCUGCGCGCGGACACGCUGGAGGCUCCCCGUUCUGAAGCUCACACCAUCCUUGGUGCUCUCGUGUGCUUUCCCAACACCUACCGGGAAAUCCCACACUUGGGACCCAUUUCAGAAACCAGUGAGAUCAGUACAGGCACUGCAGAUGUGAAGUAUUACCUCAUAAAUAUUUUAUUGAAGAAUGCUACAGAGGAGCCAAGUGAAGCUGCAAGGUGCAUAGCCAUCUGUGGCCUGGGAGUCUGGAUAUGUGAGGAGCUCACGCAGUGCACGAACCAUCCCCACGUGAAGAAGGCCAUCAAUGUCAUAGGAGUGACACUGAAGUUUUCCAAUAAGCUGGUAGCUCAGGUAGCCUGUGAUGUUCUUCAGCUGCUGGUGUCUUACUGGCAAAAGCUUCAGGAGUACGAAUCCUCCCUGUGCCGGAAAAUCACUGAGAUCCUCGUGGCCACCAUUGCGUUCCUCUUGCCGAGUGCCGAGUACUCCUCCGUGGAAGCGGAUAAGAAGUUCAUAGUUUCACUGCUGCUCUGCCUGCUGGACUGGUGCAUGGCACUGCCCAUGAAAAUGCUGCUGGAGCCCGCGUCUGCUGGUGCCGUGGAAGAUCAGCAUGCAUCCAGAGCUCCCUUGUUGGACUACAUUUACAGAGUCCUGCACUGCUGUGUGAAUGGCUCCAGCACGUACACGCAGCAAAGCCACUACGUGCUGAGCCUGGCCGACCUCUCCUCCUAUGACUACGACCCGUUUUUGCCACUGGGGAACGUCAGGAGCUCAGAGCCAGCCCAGUGCCAGUCCUCCACGGAUUUGGGCAACCUGCUCACCGUUGCUGAGGAGAAAAGGAGGAGGAAUUUAGAAUUGAUACCUCUGACGGCGCGGAUGGUGAUGACUCACCUGGUGAAUCACCUGAGCCACUACCCGCUCAGCGGAGGCCCUGCCAUUCUGCACAGCCUCCUCAGCGAGAACCACGACAACUCCUACGUGGAGUCCUCUGAGCUGUCCUCAGAAGUCUUCCGGAGUCCCAACCUGCAGCUCUUCGUGUUCAAUGACAGCACUCUCAUAUCUUACCUCCAAAUCCCUGCAGAGAAGAGGGCGGGUGCUGAGCCGGCAGCAGCCCCCUCGGACGUCAGGGUGAUUGUCAGGGAUAUCUCAGGGAAGUACUCUUGGGAUGGCCGGAUGCUGUACGGCCCUUUGGAGGGCUGCCUUCCACAGCAGAGCACCACCAACACCUUCGUGAUCUCCAGCAACCCCGAGCACCUCUUCGCUUCCCAGAACGACCUUUCCCAGGCAGAGGAAGGAGAAGACGCUCUCGACCAGCUGCUGGAGAAGAUCGGUGCCACCAGCCCCGAGUGCCUUCUGCACCCCCAGCGCAGGCUGAACGAGCCGGCGCCGCCGCCCUGCGGGAUGAGCUCCGACCAGGAGCGGGCCAUCAUGGAAGCCCUGCUGAGGCAGAGCGCCCAGGAAAGGGAGUUCAUCCUGAAAUGCAGCUCGGACUGCAGCAUGAAGGUGGCCCGCCAGGAACCACCACGUCCUGCUGAGCCUCAGGCCUCCUUUUAUUUCUGUCGGCUGUUGCUGAACGACUUGGGAAUGAACUCCUGGGAUAGAAGAAAAAGCUUUCACUUGCUUAAGAAAAAUUCAAAAUUGCUGCGAGAACUGAAAAAUCUGGAUUCCCGCCAAUGCCGUGAAACUCACAAGAUCGCCGUGUUCUACAUUGCCGAGGGACAGGAGGACAAGUGCUCCAUCCUGGCCAACGCGAGGGGAAGCCAGGCAUAUGAAGAUUUUGUAGCAGGGCUGGGCUGGGAGGUGGAUCUUUCCACGCACGGGGGUUUUAUGGGCGGCCUGCAGCGCAACGGCAGCACGGGACAGACCGCUCCCUACUACGCUACCUCCACCGUGGAGAUCAUUUUCCACGUGUCCACCAGGAUGCCGUCGGAUUCGGACGAUUCACUGACCAAAAAGCUUCGUCACUUGGGAAAUGAUGAGGUUCACAUCGUCUGGUCUGAGCACACCCGCAACUACCGCCGGGGCAUCAUCCCCACGGACUUUGGGGAUGUUCUCAUCGUCAUUUACCCCAUGAAGAAUCACAUGUUUUUCAUAGAGAUCAUGAAGAAACCAGAGGUGCCGUUUUUCGGUCCUCUCUUCGAUGGAGCGAUUGUGACCGCGAAGCUGCUGCCAAGCCUGAUCUGUGCCACGUGCAUCAACGCCAGCAGAGCCGUCAAGUCCCUCAUCCCACUCUACCAGAGCUUCUACGAGGAGAGAGCUCUGUACCUCGAAGCCAUCAUCCAGAACCACAAAGAGGUGAUGACGUUUGAGGAUUUUGCCGCUCAGGUCUUUUCUCCCUCUCCCAGCUACUCCCUCGGUGGAACUGGUGAGUCUCUGCACGUUAUUCUUCUCUGUAGCCCCAAGAAGCACUUGAGCAGCAGAUGUACACCUGUUUUUUGUAGAUAAAUGCUUGCAAAUUUAAGAAGACCAUUCUUCCCCUGAAUCAACUAAUGAAUAUCAAAAGGAAUGAUGACAUUCAUUUUAAUUUGUUUUGCAUCAGAGCUAUUCAGUCUGUUCCUUUCUUCAGCUAUCCUGUUAACCCCCGACUCCGGCGAGGUUAAUGAACUUUCUCGCAGCGAUGGGCUCCAGCUCAUUCAGGACUCCGGGUUCUUGCUGAGCUGGGAAUAUGUUGUUCAAAAGCGAGGCCUGAAUUGGGGCUCACUUAUCAAAAAUAGUUCCUCGCAGGGGAAGCUGCUGCUAAUGCUAAAUGGGGAUUAUGCUGCUGAGCUACCAGGGUCAGGGAUUAAUGCACAAGAAACGCAGGAACGGGGUGCUGUUAGGGAAUCACAGCGGCGGGCGGGACGCGGGCGCUUCCCUUCAAUGCAGACAAGCACAUUGCAGGCUGCCCUCCAGCACCUGGCCUGGAGCCUCUUUGGGGGCUGUAAUGGAUGUGUGGAUAUAUGUGGGGGGUGGGGGUGUGUGCAUGUGUACACACACAUCAACGCUCAUCAUUCAUCAGCCCUCCUGAGAGGUGACAACACAGUGCCAAACCCCGGGCAUUUAUUCCUUUAGGUUACUGUGUGGUCAGUGAGGUACAAAUCGCUGCCUGGCUGGUUCGGUUGAGUUUAAGUGAACCUCUUCUGAAAGGGAUCUUUUGCUCUGAAAAGCAGAUUUCUAGUGCUCUCAAGAUGUGUUUUUUCCAGCCUCCAGAAAGUAUCUCGUCACCGUGUGCUGGACUCUCUAACAAAGAUUCCUUAAUCCAUUGUUGACACUCAUGGGGUGACACUGGCACUUUCUAAUCAUUCCCUGCUUCUCUUUUGGAUUGCUGAAUAGAUUAUUUCCAACCUGUACAAACGUUGCAGGACAUCUGCUCUAUUUCUCUUUAGCCCGACUUGUUAGCAGAUAUCUUCCAUCUAAACUGAAACAUUGAAGGAAGAAAUUAAAUUUGCUAGAAUAAAUCACUUAGGAAUAAAACCAGCCAUGCAGCAUUGUCUAGCGUUCCUGGCUCCGAUCCUGGCGCGCUCGGAGCUUUGUGAGGAGAUAAGAGGCCUGUGCGGACUGGGCAGUGGUGGCCAGGAGCAGCAGGCAGAAGGCUUUGGAGAUAAGCGCUGGCAGGAGGGGAGGGAGUCGGGCCCAUUUACAUAAUCGCGCCUCUGCGUCCUGGAGAGGCGUCAGGGAACACGGGAUGGAUCUAUUGAUCUCUGCUGAACUGGAAUACUAAACAACACUAGGAAAGCUUAUAACUUAAAGCUUUGAUUAAUGUUUCCUACAUUAAAAAGUAGAACAGCUGUGCAUUAAAUUCUUUUAUACACUCUGCCAAAAGUCUGAGACAAAAAAAUUGCCCGUUUCAAUAGGAGUGCAGCGCGUGCCCAGGGUUGGUUGUUAGCAUUUGAAUCGUUUAUCUGUUGACAUAUCAGCAAAUAGAAAUGUAGAUAUAUUGAUGUGUUUUAAAUGUUUUGCUCUGUACAUAACUGUGUCUCGUUCUCAUGUUUUUUAGAGCACGCAGUGCUCUGGUUGUGUACAAAUGUGGUCCGGCAGGGCAGAUCCCUUGGCAGUGCCGCUCUUGGAAGGCUGGGAUAUGCUGGGAUAUGCCAAACCUGGUUAAAGUGUUUCCCAGUAGCUGAGGUUUUCAGAACACUGUUAAAUCAUGAGUACCCUGGAUGUGGUUUUAUAAUUUCAUUAUUUUAAUUGCUUUUAAUUGUAAAACCUGCCCCAGUCAGGUCCCAGUUUUUGGACUUCUGAGCCUCAGAAUUAAUUUUUCACUCAUGAACUGGAGGCUGGCCAUGACUUCUGGUGUCAGAAUUCUCUGCUUCAGAGAGUCUCCUCAUGUUACCUACUGAUUCACCUACAUAUGUAGUCAGUGAUGAGCAAGGACAGUGUCAGCCGUGGCCAUUGGGAUGUGUUUUCCAUCAGAUGCUCCCUGGCAGCUCGGGAGCUGUUCCCCAGCAUGCAGCCUGUGCCAUAGGCAGGCAGUCCUGCUCCAGGCAUAGACCCACCUGCCUUACACCUGCAGGAAUCACCUGUCUGCUGCUUAGGAACACGGAUGGCAUUUUUCUCCAUGUAAAAAGGAAUUGCUAUUCUGAAACAGAAAAAAUGAAUCAGGGAGCAAUAAAUGAAAAACAAAUUUUCCCUGAGAAAGUAGUCAGGCACUGGCACAGGCUGCCCAUGAAGGUGCUGGAGUCACUGCCUCUAAAAGUGUUCAGGAGGUGUCUGAAUGUGGCACUUGGGGACGUGGUUUAGGGGUGAUGAUGGUGGUGCUGAGUUGAUGGCUGGAUUAGAUGAUCUUGAAGAUCUCUCCCAGCCUUGAUGAUUCUGUGGGAUUCAUGGAGCUGGCACAGGUGACAAGCCAGCUGGUGCUGCUAACCCUACCGAGUAUAAACUCCUCAGGUAAAUUUAAGAUUAAUUCUCAUCUGAUCUGAGCAGAAAGGUCAAGGAGCAAGUGUGCUUUUUAUUAAAAUGAAGCUUGUUCUCAUUAGUUAUAAGAAGAAAUCAGGACCAUUAAAUGAAUUGAAGACAUAGCUCUCACUGACACACAUCACUGGGGUGUUGCUAACCAUGAUCUAAUGAUUUGAACUUUGUGUUUUUGCAUUUUCUGAUGCUGCCCCGUGGGAUGCAUCCCCCAGACUCGGGUGGGAUGUGUGUUUCCUGCCCUGGCUUAGUCUCUUUGUCACCAGCAGUCUUGCAGGUGCUGCAUUUUCUGCACGAAAAUCAUCCAGUUCAUCUCUUUGCUGUUUCCACGCACAGAGCCUUAAACUUCCCUCACGGAUCACAGGUAGCCCUGGCUGUCUGCAGUGCUGAAGGAUCACAGGUAGCCCUGGCUGUCUGCAGUGCUGAAAGCGCAGCCGGGUAGGCAGAAUGGCCAUCCCUGAACUCAUUUAGGGGAUGUGCAGAUUAGGAACAAAAGCUGGGAAUACGGCCCUUUGUUGUUAAACUGGUGCAUUACAUGCUGUAUUUUAAUUAGGCUGGGUCUGAGAGGCAGCCCAGGAAAUCCUCCAUAAUCCAACACUAUUGAAUUAUUCUCAUCCUUUCCCUCUGCAGAUUUCUCUCCUUUUAGAGGACGGGCUUUAUGCUGCUGUUCUUGCUCCCUCAGCCAAACCCAGAAACAGUUACUCAACAAAACAGUUGUGUGUUCUUUAACAAACUGGUGAAGCUGAAGCGGGCACACACAGACAGAGCAGCACCCUGACUUUGCCUCUGUGGCUCAGAGGGCUGCCUUGGGCUUUGGGGCUUUUUUGGUGUAAGAUCAGCAGUCAGAAGCAUGGUGUUAUCCCUUAGGAAGUGGAAGUGGGUCAGGUAUUCAGGGUAUCUAGUGAAAGCUUGCCCACCUCAGGAGGAUUGUGUAAAGAGUCUGUACUCGGAGGGCAGGUUUGUGUUUGAAGGGAACCCCGGAGCUGCAGUGCUGCCGUUGGCACUCCAAGGGUUAAUGGGAACGGGCACACUUGACUGCUGAGAGGACUGAUCUAAUCACUGCCAUAUCCAAGUGCAUCUGUUCACCAUGAGGUCAUUCUUGUGCAUGCUAAUGACUUGGAAAAUAAAGCACAAUGCUCAACGUUAUCAGGGAGGAUAUAGUGUAAAUCUUGGCUUUUUUAGUUGUUAAUGGGUAUUGUGGAAUGGGCAGGCAAAGCAUCCCGGAUUCUUGUGUUCCAGCUUAAUGUUUUUAAAGCAUCCUUUUCAGUGGAGUGUCAGGAAAACUGUACUGGAAAACUCAGACAUGGUAUCUGUUGAUAAAUGGAUUCUUUAAUGAAUAUUAUGGCAUUGCCCAGGAGCAACACUUGAGUUGAGGAACUAUAGAGGUUUUCAGCAUUCCCUGGUUUUAAAGCCUCGGGAGCCUGCCUGCUGAUUUACAUAAAACCAAGAUUUUGCAGGCUUUUUGUUGUAAAGGUGACACAUGCUUUUCUUUUGUCUCCAGACUUUUACAUGCAUAAAGUUCCUGUAGAAAAUACUUGAAUGUAUAAGGAAGCAGAUCUGGUUUAUUUUAAACCACUUUUUGCUCAGUACUGAGCUUUAUCUUUCCCACUUUAAAGCAAAAGGAAUACUUCAAUUUGACAUCUAGGUUUAAAAUGUAUUUUUGACAGAAACAAAACCAAACCCAGAGUAACUAUUGCGCUAACCAGACUGAUGCUCUUUGUAAUGAUGAGCCAGGAUUCCUUUUGCUUUGGUGUGGUUUUUCUGGUUUUGUUUUUUACUUAAUUGGGGUUUCUUUUGCUUUUAUCUUUUUCCUUGGAAAAGGGUGUUUUGUCAGAUCUGUGUAGAGGUGGAACAAAAGUCUCUCCAGGUUCUGUAUAUUAAAUAUUUCUGCCUUUUUCGGGGGAGUAGUAAAAAAAUACUCAAAAGUGAAUAGCUGUGCCACGAUACCACAGCACGUUCGGCAUUUACCAGGGGUCAAGUUUGAUCCAUGUGUCAGUGUUGCCUGAAACUGAACAGUUAAUUUCUAGUAACUGGGACUUAGGAAAUUCCUGACUGUCCUGGCUCCUCAGAGCCACAGCUCAGCUGCUGCCUCCAGGAGAGGAGGCAGCACUGGCACUGUCUGGCAGUGGCAGCUGUGGGCUCCAACCUCCACCCAACCCUCCCUGGUCCAGGAUGGGUCCCUCCGAUGUGGGAGCAAGGACAGGGAAUUGAGUCGUAUGAGCCCGUGCUCAGCAGGUGAGAUGGAACUCGGGUAGCUACCGGUGCUGCCGUGGUUGUCCAGGCAGUGAACAAAGAGGAAAAGCUGAGGGAGGUGGAGCAGAGGAGCCAGAAGAGUUACCACAGGAGGCAGGAUUCGGCUGUCUCUUCUCCUCCUUCCCCGGGAGUACUCGGGAGGAAGCACAGGACCUGUGUGGCUUUCCCUCUCUGUUUAAUCCCGGUAGUUCCACAUCCUGAGCAGACUGGAGCCUCUGUCCCAGCUGCUGCUCGGCUGCCCUCAGGGGCUCCUGGGGCAGCACCAGCAGAUUUGGGAGCUGCUCCUUGCCCCUGUGCUCUCUGUUAUCAGUGUUCCACGUGUGGCUUUCCUGCCCUCAUCCACAGAGCUGCCACCGUAGUGUCCCUCUGAGGGGCAGGAAUGGCAUUAAACAGAGCAGUGUCACAGCUACCACAAAUUGUUGGGGCAGCAGCUCUGUUCCCCUGUAGCUCCUGUGGCUGAACAGGCCUGGCUCCAGAGGGUCUGGAUCCCUGCAGAGCCCUAGGGAAGUUGCAUCCUUCCUUUGCGGGCCCCUGCAAAGGAACAGCCGUCUACUCUGGGCACAGGGGUCGUUUUCCCUGUGCCCUGCACCGACCUGUCCCUGAGGCUGGGCAGGUGCUGGGGCUGCUUCUCCCUCAAGCCCUCGGGAUCUCCAGCAGGGAAGGGGCACAUUAGGGCUCUCAGCCUGGGCCCCUGCCUUUUCCAUGUAAUUGAUUGGCUCAGAGGGAGCUCCCCCAGCUAUGAUCUCUGGGAGAGGAGGCAGAGAGAGAGGGUUUCUCCAAGCAAUCAGUGCUGGGAUGGCAGAAAAUAUGAGCUUGACAGGCCCGUCUCUCCUGCCGGGUGACAGCUCCAGCUGCUCGAGCUGUCAGCUCGGAGAAGGCUCCAGGCAAUGUGGCCCCUUUGCAUUUUCCCUCUGCACUGAGGCACCGGCUCUGUGGCCACGGAGAGCGGGAGCAGAGCUGUGGCCACGGGCCGGGGGCUUGGGCUGCUCCACCUGUGACACCCACAAAACCCCCAUCGUUUUCUGGGCUCCCCCUGGCUGAGGUUGAGGCCAACCGUGCAGAACUAAUUAACGGCUGCUCCGAGUCCUGACUAAUUAGACUUCGAUGUGUACAUUUAGGGUUUAUUUCCAAAUCCCUCAAACCAUCAAGGCUGGGCCUGUGACCGUGCCAGCCACUCCCUCCUGGAAACUGUGAGUGCUAUUUUAGGGGUGGUUCUACCCCUGAUUAACUUGUAGUUUGAGAUCUCUUACUGCUUAAAGCUUUCCAAGACACUGCAGGACAUGUUUGAUUAACACAGCCACGGCUUGAGUUAUCGAUGAUUUCUUCCACACAGGCUCAGGAUGCUGCUUACAGUGUACUUUGAGCCUGUCCUUGGAAGUGGGAAGCAGGAACACUGGGCAGAUUUACUACAGUGAUUCUCUCUGGAAUUUUCUGACCUUCACAUUUACUGGGAAGGAAAACAAAGAUUUCCACAGCCCUGUCCUGGCUGACAGGUUAAUGGGGGGCUGGAACAGGUCACAGCCCAUGUGAAAACUUCAUGGGUCUUUUUAAAGACAAGGCUUCAGGAUCCUUACAGGUCAUGGAGACCCACCGUUGCUUUCAGGGGUGUUCAGCUACUUCAGGAGGAGAGAAAUGGCUGAAAGGUCAUUCCUAGAGCACCUGCCCUGGCAGGGCGGGGCAUGAGAAAUGAGGUUUGUUCUCUCUGGUGGAUUUGAGGUGCAAUAAGCCAUCUUUCUCUCUCUAGCUUCCCACAAGACAAUUUCAUCUAAAGUGUGGUUUUAUCUGUAUUCCUAACUCCAUUUCUAAUCCCCUCCUGCAAGGAACUUACUUUAAAAGUUUAAACCUCUCUCACCAGGCGUCACCUGUAAGAGGCCCUGUGGGAUCCCUACACUGCUCAUUUCCUGGGGUUUUAACCUGCCUGCAGUGUCCCAGUGGUUUAGGUCUCUGUGAAGCCUCCAAUCUUGCACAGUUUGAAAUGGUGUGACCAGCAGCGGUGCUGGAGGCAGAGCCGAUGCAGCUGCACCCACCGUCCCAUGGCAGCUCGUUUGGCAAAAGCUCGUUUGCAAUGAUUAUUCAUUCUCAUUUUUGCCAGCAUUCCCUCCCUUGACCGUUUCAAUGCACAGACCCGAGAAGGAAGCGUGCGGGUCCCUGUUUCUCCAGGUCCCUGAGGGUUGAGGGGAACUCUCCUUCCUGCGCUGCCCUUCCCGCUGGUGCCCGGCACGUGCCAGGGUCUGCUGUGCCAGGCUGAUGUUGGCCCAGUGGGUCACGGGUGUGCCGGUCCUGCACUGACACCGUUUUGUGUUCUCUCCCUUCAGAUUAGAGUGUGUAACGCUCUCGUUACGGUAAUGGCCGCAGGCUGCCUCACCACAAGUGCAAGCGCUGACCUCACUGUUACCAUCGGCAUCGAGCUGGCGGAGCCGCCCUCGCCCACGCUGCCACGUGCCUCCAGGAGCAGAGUCUCCGGGAAGCUCCGUCGCUCCACCAGCGCUCUCAGCAAGGCUUCC